rnacentral:rRNA from 1 species
AGUAACGCGUGGAUAACCUGCCUUUCGACAGGGGGAUAGCAGCUGGAAACGGCUGGUAAUACCGCAUACGCUCAUAUCACCGCAUGGUGGUGUGAGGAAAAGAUUUAUCGGUGAAAGAUGGAUCCGCGUCUGAUUAGCCAGUUGGCGGGGUAACGGCCCACCAAAGCGACGAUCAGUAGCCGGCCUGAGAGGGCGGACGGCCACAUUGGGACUGAGACACGGCCCAGACUCCUACGGGAGGCAGCAGUGGGGGAUAUUGCACAAUGGGCGCAAGCCUGAUGCAGCGACGCCGCGUGAGUGAAGAAGUAUUUCGGUAUGUAAAGCUCUAUCAGCAGGGAAGAAAGACCCAUUUAGGGAGAUGACGGUACCUGACUAAGAAGCCCGGCUAACUACGUGCC